GUUGCCAAUGCUUAACUCCUAUAUUGAGCCUAAUUCCUUCUAUGAUUAAGGAGUGCAACUCCAAUCCAGGCAGCAUGCAACAAAACCAUUACUUGUCUGCUUUAUGGGUCCAAGGAUAAUCUCUAAUAUUUAUUCCUUUAUUGAAUCCACAGUCUGGUAAAUUAAUGAUUUACUUUAUAGGAAGAAGUUGCUAAGAGGAUUUUCCUAAGAAGUAUUUGCCUAAAGCUCCUACGGUGAAGUCUGAAUGGGAAGAAAGUACAGAAGGGAAAGUGUUCUCCUACCUAAGCAGGUAAUUUACCAGGAAAACAGCACUAGGGGAAACGGCACCCCAAAGACUUUCACACUGAAGCAUGUAUCUGUUGGCAUUUCCUUGGAAGAGACAGCAGUAAGUUGCAAAAGAGUCAAAGAUGAUAUAAGACUCCAGCCUCACCUCAGCCCUCAGAGUACAACAUGAAAAUCAACCCCAAAAAGGAGAGCACAGCCUUUGAGAUAUCUAUACUCUCCAGCCUUCUCAGAGUUUCAUAUUUUGAUGUUUUGAACUGAAGGAUCUGAUAAG
ensembl:lncRNA